AAAAAUCUUGUCUGAUUUGGAGGCAACGGCCCAUAAAUGAACUGGACAUGUGUACUUGCAGGUAGUGUAUGUGGAAGCAAUUCUUCAUUGGGGGGAUUCAUGAGUUUGGAUACUGAUAUUUAUCCAAAAAUACUAACGCGCCCCUUAAAAUUCAAGAAGCCGGAUCAAAACUUCACCAUUUGUCCUGGUGGAUUAGCUGUUGCGCAAGCUUUUCAGAUGAAGCCAAAGGCAGGGAAGGAUUUAAAAAUUUAUUAAGGGUCCUUAUAAGCCCGGGGAAGGACUGGUAAAUUGUGCAAUGGUUUGCUAGUGAUUUUAGAGGUUGGAAGGUUUAUCAUGCUGGUAAUAAUUUCCAAGUGGAUACGAACAGUUGAAAGUGAUUCUAAAGUAGUCUGAAAUUUUGAUGGUAAGAGUUGGCAUAUUGAUUUGGGUUACUUGUAGGUUAG
rnacentral:misc_RNA from 1 species